UCUCCGUAGGUGAACCUGCGGAGGGAUCAUUACUGAGUGAGGGCUUCGGUCCGACCUCCAACCCUUUGUGAACCAAACUUGUUGCUUCGGGGGCGACCCUGCCGUUUCGACGGCGAGCGCCUCCGGAGGCCUUCAAACACUGCAUCUUUGCGUCGGAGUUUAAGUAAAUUAAACAAAACUUUCAACAACGGAUCUCUUGGUUCCAGCAUCGAUGAAGAACGAGC
rnacentral:misc_RNA from 1 species